rnacentral:lncRNA from 1 species
UCUAAUGACAUACAACCUCGUGUCAUCAUAAAACAUGGAUGUGCUCAUCCACUUGCUGAGUAUAUAUACGAGCACUACCUAUAUAAUCUUGGAGUUUGUUUGAAGUAUAAUUCUCAAUUAGAGACAGUGGAGAUAAUGAUAUGUCAAGAGAAGACUUACCAUUGGGAAGAAUAUGAUAAUAAUCUUCUUGUUUUUUUUGGGGUCUAUUGGGUCAACCAAGGAUAAUUCUGUGGCCAUAUGAUAUCUAUCAUAACCUAGACGCAUGGCCUCCCAUAUACGAAGGUUUCCUUGAGCACUUCCCAA